rnacentral:lncRNA from 1 species
UACUGAAGAAAAAAAAGGCCUGAUGGAUUAAUUAAUGAUUUAAUGGUCCAAUAUCUCAAUGAAAGAGACCAAUAAUAUAGUAUUACAUCAUGUGCUAAUUGUAUAGUUGUUCAAAGUAACAUGGGCUAAUGCUCCAGAAGACUAUAUGGCCUUUGCUUGGCCCAAUUUAAGUACAAAAAAGCCCGGCAAUUUUUAAUACUGAUUCAGCCCAUUUCGAAAUACUGAUUCAGCCCAAUUUUUUCCCCCUUAUCUAUCCUCCUCUGAUUCAGCCCAUUUAUUUACUGACCAGAUUCUUUCAUCUUCCUUGUCUCCUCCUCUUCCGUCGAGAAAUCCGACUCUCUCAUUCCCUCCUGCAACGUGUUCUUCUCUUUUCUCGAAGGUCUUAUCUUAGCAAGCACGGCCUUAGGUCAGUCCGAUGAUCGUCAUCGUGAGUCGGUGAUUCGUAAUUAGGCAGUUGGGAUUGAGCGUCGAUCGUCUUUCCCAUGUGUUUUAUAUGAUCGAUCUCAUGAUCAUGUUCUUCAGCCACGGUUGAAUGUCAGAGUCGAUGGCAACGUCGAUCGACCUGCAAGGCUUU